CCAGAUAUUGUGUGUUCAUAAUUGAAUUGGAUCAAAUAAAGAUGCCCAUGGGCUUUAACAAUCACCUUAGUAUCAUACAAUGACAAGAGGCCCAUGGGCCACAACCAGUGUAUGAAGACAAGAGGCCCAUGGGCCACAACCAGUGUAUGAAACUUGCUGUAAAAUUAGCUAUAGACAUGUAAGGCUAACUGCUUGUAAAAGUUGUCAGCCCUGCCAAAGACUUACUAGCUCUGAGGUAAUAACUUGCGAUUUUUAAAUCAAUGGAAAAGCAUACCAUCGUCAACUUCUAUUUUCUACGGGGUUGCUUCAAAAGUAGGCAGUGAAAAUUAUUUCAAAUGAAAAAAAGGAAAAUAAACAUACAAUACAAAAGUGUGAGAUUCUAGGAAAAAGUCAUUAGUCACAACUAACUAACUAGAAAACCAUACAAGCCAACUUUCCCGAUUUGUGCGGGAUUCUCCCGAUUUGAAGCAGUUGAAAAGGCAAAUCCCGAUAUCCCGAUCGGGAUUGCAAAAAUACCCCGAAAUCCCGAUUUUCUAAAAAUAUCUCCCAUUUUACGACAACAACAACAACCCCAUUUCCAACCGGAAUUUGAAAUCCUGCGUCAUUUCUGAACUGGCCAAUCAGAAAUCGGGACAAUAGUCAGCCAUUGCUGUUUACCUGUGUUGCAUGGUAUCGGGGUUAUGUAAUUUACCUGAUCUGCCUGUGUCGGGGUGCUUAUUGGACAGUGCGAAGCAUGUUUUGAUAGUAAUUAAUCGGGAAGACGGAUUUCAAACUGACAUAUCCUUUACACAAACGUGAAUGACAACGAUAAUAGUGUCACCAUGCACCACCAAACAAUCGGACAUUCCCAAUUUUUUGCCUCUCGCUGACAGCAUCCAAAAUAUGCAAUAAGAUGUCAUGGUUGCAAAGGUUUUGUUUGCAAACUUCAUAGCAGGGCAGACUACUCCUUUUCUGGUUGCAAUGCAGAUUGUUCCACCAGACUCUGCAAGCCCAUGUUUACAGACAACCAAGAUCGCCUUUGUAGUCGUACCUAAAUGCAUGUGCUUCAAUUUAAAUUUUGAUAUAUAGACCAGCCAAUGCGUAUAUGGUGUAAAAGGAUGCAACUUUAAGUAUUAUUUGAUAUUUGUAUGUGACUUGUUGGAGAGGAUUUUUUGCUGAAUAGAUGAUUUUAAUAAAAUACUUAUGUAUAUCU